AUUUGUUUUGCUUUCUCGUUUAAGGUCAGUCCUGCCAGUCUCUCUGAAAGACUUUGUAUUAUGCUGCUUGUUCCUGGAGAAGCUCUGCUUUUUGUCCUGGUGUCUCCAGAAAACUGCUAACCUGACUAGCCGCCCUGGAGAAGUUCUGCCCUGUGGCCUGGUGUUGCUACGAGGCCUGCUAGCCGAGCAGAACUAAGCUUUCCUAGCCACCUACUGAUUGGGGACUAUCUCUCUCUGGACCAUCAGCUCCUGCCAUCAUCUACAUCCCUGUUCCCUUUUAUCAUCAAACAUCUCAUUCAAUAAACUCACAAAAGA